AGAGUCUGGCAGGCAGCGGCUGGCAGGGACUGAUGAGGGCAUGCUGGCUGCAAUCAGUGACAGUGAAUGAGUCACUGUCACUCACGCUGCAGCACUGCAGGCUCCUCUGACAGGGAACUUUCACAGCAGUCUCCGGCAGCCCUGAGCAGUGCACACAGCCCUCCCCCAUGCCUGGGAACAGGGGGAGGGACACAGAGUGCAGCAGCGUGGACUCUGAACGAGGGGGAACUGGAGCCGACCUGUGACAGAGAGAGGAGAUUUACGAGAUCCCGAUGUUCAUCUGACGGCGGCCACUUGUCCACAUCCACGAUCCCGAUGUUCAUCUGACGGCGGCCACUUGUCCACAUCCACGGACGGAAACCACCUCCUUCCCUCCCUUAUACCGUCACUCACAUUUGAUGUGUCACCGCUGCCCUGAUCGGGUUGGUGGAAAGCGGAUUAGCCGGGCCCCUGGGGGUGUGUUCGGGGGAAAGCUGUUUGUGAUGCCCGAGUGAACUUCUCCUCAGCGCCGCUUUUACUGAUGCAGCUCCUCCGUUACCGGGGCCUCUGCUGCCCGCGAUCCGAUCACUACACACCACUUACCAGGAUUUG